rnacentral:rRNA from 1 species
GACGAACGCUGGCGGCGUGCUUAACACAUGCAAGUCGAACGAUGAACCCGGAGCUUGCCCUGUCGGACGAGUGGCGAACGGGUGAGUAACACGUGAGUAACCUGCCCUGGACUCUGGGAUAAGCGUUGGAAACGCCGUCUAAUACCGGAUAGGACCUUGGAUCGCAUGAUCUGGGGUGGAAAGUGUCUUCGGUCUGGGAUGGCCUGGCGGCCUAUCAGCUUGUUGGUGAGGUAAUGGCGCGCAAAGGAGUCGACGGGUAGCCGGCCUGAGAGGGUGACCGGACACACUGGGACCGACACACGGCCCAGACACCUACGGGAGGUAGCAGUUGGGCAUAUUGCUCACUGGGCGAAAGCCUGAUGCAGCAGCGCCGCGUGCGGGAUGACGGCCUUCGGGUUGUAAACCGCUUUUAGUAGGGAAGAAGGGCUUCGGCUUGACGGUACCUGCAGAAAAAGGACCGGCUAACUACGUG